UACGUAGGGUACAAGCGUUGUCCGGAAUUAUUGGGCGUAAAGAGCUCGUAGGCGGCUUGUCGCGUCGGCUGUGAAAACCUGGGGCUCAACCCCGGGCCUGCAGCCGAUACGGGCAAGCUAGAGUUCGGUAGGGGAGACUGGAAUUCCUGGUGUAGCGGUGAAAUGCGCAGAUAUCAGGAGGAACACCGGUGGCGAAGGCGGGUCUCUGGACAACACCUGACACUGAGGCACGAAAGCUAGGGGAGCAAACGGG
rnacentral:rRNA from 1 species